rnacentral:rRNA from 1 species
CUAAGUUUGAUGGCGACCGGCGCACGGGUGAGUAACACGUAUCCAACCUGCCGAUGACUCGGGGAUAGCCUUUCGAAAGAAAGAUUAAUACCCGAUGGCAUAGUUCUUCCGCAUGGUAGAACUAUUAAAGAAUUUCGGUCAUCGAUGGGGAUGCGUUCCAUUAGGUUGUUGGCGGGGGUAACGGGCCCACCAAGCCUUCGAUGGAUAGGGGGUUCUGAGAGGAAGGUCCCCCCACAUUGGAACUGAGACACGGUCCAAACUCCUACGGGAGGCAGCAUG